GCCCGGUUAGCUCAGUUGGCUAGAGCGUGAGACUUUUAUCAAAUAUUUGGUAUCUCAAUGUCGGGGGUUCGAGCCCCCCAUCGGGCG
rnacentral:tRNA from 1 species